rnacentral:rRNA from 1 species
AGAGUUUGAUCAUGGCUCAGGAUGAACGCUGGCGGCGUGCCUAAUACAUGCAAGUCGAACGAGGUGCUUUUGUAGCAAUACGAGAGUAUCCUAGUGGCGAACGGGUGAGUAACGCGUUGGUGACCUACCCCAAAGUGUGGGAUAACAGUCCGAAAGGAUUGCUAAUACCGCAUGUGGUCAUUGGAUUUAGAAACUGAUGACUAAAGGAGCAAUUCGCUUUGGGAGGGACCUGCGUCCCAUCAGCUAGUUGGUGAGGUAACGGCUCACCAAGGCGACGACGGGUAGGGGACCUGAGAGGGUGACCCCCCACAAUGGAACUGAAACACGGUCCAUACACCUACGGGUGGCAGCAGUAGGGAAUAUUGCACAAUGGGCGAAAGCCUGAUGCAGCAACGCCGCGUGUGUGAUGAAGGCCUUCGGGUCGUAAAGCACUUUUCUGGGAGAUGAGAAAGGACAGUAUCCCAGGAAUAAGUCUCGGCUAACUACGUGCCAGCCGCCGCGGUAAUAC